rnacentral:rRNA from 1 species
GACGAACGCUGGCGGCGUGCCUAAUACAUGCAAGUCGAACGCUUCUUUCCUCCCGAUUGCUUGCACUCAAUUGGCACGAGUAGUUGCGGACGGGUGAGUAACACGUGGGUAACCUACCCAUCAGAGGGGGAUAACACUCGGAAACAGGUGCUAAUACCGCAUAACAGUUUAUGCCGCAUGGCAUAAGAGUGAAAGGCGCUUUCGGGUGUCGCUGUUGGAUUGACCCGCGGUGCAUUAGCUAGUUGGUGAGGUAACGGCUCACCAAGGCUACGAUGCAUAGCCCACCUGAGAGGGGGAUCGGCCACCCUGGGACUGAGACACGGCCCAGACUCCUACGGGAGGCAGCAGUAGGGAACAUUGGGCAAUGGAAGAAAGUCUGAUCGUGCAAAGACGCGUUAGUGAUGAGGGUUGUCGGAUAGGAAAACCCGGUGGUGAGAGAGGAACAAGGACGUUAGGAAAUGAACGACUCCUGAAGGUAUCUAACCAGAAAGCCACGGCUAACUACGUG